UGGGGAAUAUUGCACAAUGGAGGGAACUCUGAUGCAGCGACGCCGCGUGAACGAAGAAGUCUUUCGAGUCGUAAAGUUCUUUUAUAUGGGAAGAUAAUGACGGUACCAUAAGAAAAAGCCCCGGCUAACUACGUGCCAGCAGCCGCGGUAAUACGUAGGGGGCUAGCGUUGUCCGGAAUCACUGGGCGUAAAGGGUUCGCAGGCGGAAAUGCAAGUCAGGUGUAAAAGGCAGUAGCUUAACUACUGUAAGCAUUUGAAACUGCAUAUCUUGAGAAGAGUAGAGGUAAGUGGAAUUUUUAGUGUAGCGGUGAAAUGCGUAGAUAUUAAAAAGAAUACCGGUGGCGAAGGCGGCUUACUGGGCUCAUUCUGACGCUGAGGAACGAAAGCGUGGGUAGCAAACAGG
rnacentral:rRNA from 1 species